CUAAUCAGAAUUUAAAGAAGGAACUUGAGACUUUGAUUCUUGACCUUGAAGAGAAGUUGAAGGAAAGUCAAAAAAUCGAAGAAUCUCUGAAAUCUGAAGUUGAAACUCUCAAAGUUGAGAUUGCUGAGAAAUCUGUGUUGCAAAGUCGGCUGCAAGAAAUCGAAAAGCAAUUGGUGAAAGCUGAAUCUAGACUAAAUGAAGAGGUAUGGAUAAAGUGCUUAUAUCUUGUAAAACAAGUGAAAAUUCAGAAGCAAAAUAUCUUUCAAAUUUAAAGUAAAAAUAUAAAAUUACAUUGAAAGGGCUUUGCUGAUUAAUAUGAUGUUUUGCAGGUUGGAAGUGUUCAGGCUGCUGCAUCUCAAAGAGAAGUAGAUUUGAGUUCAAAAUUUGAAGAUUAUGAACAAAAAGUCAAAGAAAUUACUGUGCUGAAUGGAAAGGUGGUAGAACUUGAGAAAGAGUUGCAACUUGCACAGGCUACUAUAGCUAACCAGGUGGGCUCAUGAACACUCUAAUCAAAUUAUACAUUCUUUCAAGGUUGCAAUUUAUGUUGAAAGUAAGAGAAUUAAAAUGAGAUUUUGAAGCUUACCCUAUUAAAUUCAGAAACUUUGCCUUGGUGGUUUUAAUUUUAAAUUCACUUCUAUCAAUCACUCUAAAUGAUAUGAUAUCAUUUUUGCCAUUCAUAAAGUAAUCUUUUAGAUUUCACGUGUAUUUUUUUUUUCUUUCAAACAAUUAAUAUUUGAACUUAAUUCUCUCAUUACCAAUGGUGUUCUUGUAUGCUGAGAUUGAGAUGAAAAUAUAUAACGUAUAUUAGUGAUUUCUCUCAUACUGAUUUUCUUUUCUUAAAAUGAAAAGCAGAAAGGCGCAGAAUCUGAGAAGUUGGAACUAGAGGCAGCUCUGAAGAAUUCUGUAGAAGAACUUGAAACUAAGAAAAGUGAAAUCUCUCUUCUACAGAAACAAGUAAUAGAUUUUGAGCAGAAAUUGCAACAGGGUGGUGAGAAAAUCUCAGUCCAGGUAAUUAUCCUCUCAAAAGUUCAAACAUUAAGGUAUAGGAUUACAACAUAACAAUAUAGACAGAUUUUACAUGUGAGUCUAAUCAGAUUUUACAAUCUCAUCACAGUGUAAGUGUAAUAUUAUGAUGUGUCACAAGAAUCACGAUGGAGAAAUAUGAUCGGACGUUUAUGCAAAACAAAUUUAUACUUGUUAGCAUAGCAAUCGUUGAACUCAUGUCAUGUUAUAAUCUGUUAGCAAAAUUUAAUGUUUCCAUUUUCUAAUGAUGUUCCAGGGAGAGGAGGGUGUUCAUAACAAGGAUGGGUUGGAAGUGAAAUCGAGGGACGUUAACUUCUCAGCCCCAUCGAAGAGGAAGAGCAAGAAAAAAUCAGAAGCAACAACUACUCAAGCAUCAUCUUCUUCGUCGGAGACUCACACUCAAACUGGCCAGGAUUCGCCUGUCGUGAAUUUCAAGUUCAUCCUCGCAGUAGCUCUUGUAUCCAUUAUCGUCGGCAUAGUUCUUGGAAAGCGCUACUAGUGAUGGCAGUAUGCAUUUUCUUAUGGGUAUUAAAUCCUCAUGUUCUUUUUUCUUCAUGGUUUUUCUAUCAGAUUGAAAGCUUUCUUUGCAUAUAUGCUUUCAAACUCCAGACUUGAGUUUGGUUAGGGAACUUCUUUUUUGUGUCUAUCCCUUGCCCGUGUGCAAAAAAAAAAAGGAUUUGAUUUAUGUUUUGUUUAUAGUUUGGAUUAUUACAAUUUGAUUGCGGUUGCUUUACUUUGGAGUAUAUUUUUCUUCUAAACUGAUAAUUUGAGUGUAGGAUUUGGGGGCAGCUACAAAAUUGUGUUUGCAUAUAGUAAAAAUAUUAAAAUGAAGUUGUUGAUAAGCAUAUUCAAAAUAAAAUCUAUAUAUCUUAUUUAUCUGCAACCACCUAUCUAUUUUUUUGGGGUAAACUGUAAAUCUAUCUAAUGUAUACACUUUGAUGUUUGGAUCAUUACAUUGCCACUGAAGCUACACUAUUCAAGCAGCAUAAAAGGGUUAGCAAAAAUAUUUCCCAGUUAGAUAUAUUUGUCAUGAGGUAAAUCGAGCAACAGACUCUUUCACUAGGUUUGGUCUUUCCUUUCCUUGAUCAAUGAAGAUAGACAGCUUAAUUUAAUAUGUGAUUUUGCUUUUUUAAUCAUGUUGGUGAUAGCUUUUCAUCUAGUUAGAUAUAAAGGUAGAUCUUCAUAGCCUUCCGUUUUUAUUGCAUAAAAUCUAAAAUAAGUUUAUAAAAAGAGACUUACCUCAUUUCACAACUUCGUUUUGUAAGGAUGAUCAAAUUAAACCAAACGUAAAAACUAAAUACCCUUAGUCGACCACCACGAACACCUUCCCUUCUUUUUGGUUCCCUCUCCCCACCCUUCUAUGUGUCUGGUCCUAAUAACACUAGGGAUAACCCCUUUCAACUACCAAUGUCACUU
rnacentral:lncRNA from 1 species